rnacentral:tRNA from 1 species
UCGAGCGCGGGCGACGGUUUCAGCGUUGCCGGAGCCGCCGGCGACGGCUGCGCAUGCGCGUGCUGCACGCGGCGCUCGGC